GACUUCGUGGUCGAGUGGUAAGGAUACCUGCCUUUCACUCUGGAGUCCCGGGUACGAUCCCUGGUCGAGGAGCU